CCUCUCCCUCUCCCUCUACGCCUCUCCCUCUCCCUCUUCGGUCACCUCUCUCUAUCUCUUUGUUUGAUCUAAAGGAGGGAGACAAAACCCUAACCCUAUCACAACCACACGCCCCAAUGAAAUCUAGUCGCCAGAUUCUAUCCAGAGACGAGAAAUCCAGCCAACAAUCAUCGAAUCCAAGUGUUGGAGAUUAAUGCUAAUCCUCACAGAUACUUGCGAAAUCUUGCUUGAUUUCAACCAUAAAUCAGCCAAAAUCAUCUACAAAUGCAUCAAAACAAGUUGUUAAAAAUCUGAAGUCGCAGGUGAGAAACCUUUGUGAGGAUUUUCUAUGUAUUUUUAUUUUUUAUUAAUGUAAAUUUUCCUUUACUUUCUAUGUAUUAAUGUCAAUUUCCAAAUUUGAGGAAUUCAAGGUAAAGAAUGGCUUUCAGGUUUUUUGUUUUUAAAAAUGGGAUUUGAGGCUUUUGAAUUGUGAUGCAUACCAAGUGUUUAACGAAAUGGUAAAGGAGACGUGCAUACCAAAUGUUUGACUGAUUACAUGUCUUUGCCAUUUACCAAAAAUGUAAGUUUCACUAUCUAGAGGCAAGCAUUCAUUUGGAAUAUUUUCUCAUAGAUUUAAUUAUGGACACUUGUUUCUUAUUAAGAGAAAAUAUCAGGUUUAUAGGCCAUCUACCAUUAUUCAGCGUCUUUCCAGGUGAUUAACGAAACUCUACGGAUGACGAAUAUUAUCAAUGGGGUAUGGAGAAAAGAUUAAAGCCACUGCUUCAAAUGGAAGGACUGCAGAAAGAUUUGGUUAGGGAGACUACUGAUGGUGAACUAGCAGUUGCAACAAAUAUGAGAGUUGCAAAGGUGAAAAGAAACAUAAGGCAGUCGAGUUGCAAGAAACAAGCUAAUCAAGGUACCACUCUCUUUUACUCUACUCACACCUAAGGCAAGAUAUCUUCUCUCCUGACAAGCCAGUAGAGUGAAAAACAUAGAUUGUAUCUAAUCAAGUUGCACACAACAGAAACCAUCUUUGAAGACAGAAGCACACUGAAAAUGGAAAAUAUUUUACAGAUAUAGUGGUGAUAUUAUUCCUUUUUCUUCCUGUAUAGUGAUAAUGGUUGUAGAAAAAAUGGAUCUAUAUAUGCAAUGAUCACCAUUCAUGUGUAGGACUGUAAAAUCAAAGAAAAGGUCACUGUGUGCUUAAUAUGGAUGGCCAUGAAAGCUGCAAUUGUGUCUUGAUAUUUAUUCUGUGUCAGAAUCUUUUUCUAGUGUCUUCCUUCCCACCAAAACCUUUUUUAACACCUCUAUCAUUGCUGCCAUCCAUCUUCUGCAAAUCCAGCAUCGUCCACUGGAUCUUUUAGCCCCUUUGAUGUGAUAGGAAGCCUAUUCUUGGAAUCCCACUUGCAUGACGAGUUCUGUUGUUGCUCCAGCUUCACUGGAAACCAUUUCUGGGCUCGUUGUGUGCUGGCACCAAUUCUCAGAACAGGUACCUGCAAACUUCCCAGAUCUUUGGUCUAGCAUGUUGUGGUUCAUAUACUGUUGCUUCUAGUUGUGCCAACCGCCCUUCUUGGAAACGUUGGAAGCAAAUUUCAGGUUUCAUCCUAUUCAUAUCAGCAGUAGUUGGUUGGAUUCAUUUGAUCUAUUUGGUUUUCUUUUACAAUGGCUGAAAAGCCCACAUCUUAACAAGACACGUGUCCUUUAAAUGUUGUAACCUUGAGCAUCUCAUUGUUAUUGUGUUAUUCUUUUACAUUACUCAGGUUCCUUCGGCUGUAGUUACAUAUACCUCCCUGUUCUGUAGCAUAGGUCCUGGAUCACUGUACUGGAGACAGACACAUCGGCCUACUAUACUGCAAUCUCUUGGAUGCAUAGCACAAACUGCAAUGCCUGUUUAUGAAACCAAAGAGGGUGAAUUGUGGGUUUUAUAACGAGCAAAAUAUUAGAGUGCGGCAGCAUAUGCUUUCCUUGGCCUUUACAAAACUGAACCGUCUUAUGCAUGCUAUUGUAUGUUUCUCCCAUUUUGACAAGAUCUUCUCAUUUGGAUAUAUUUCUCUGUUCCAGGAACUAAAAUCUCUUAGGAAAAACAAAGUGAACUUUGUUUAUUGAAGGUCAGUUAGGUUUUGCAUCACAGGUAUUUGGUAUUAAAACCUUGGUGAAAAGCUUUUUACCUAUUAAAGAUGCUCAUCUGCGGCCGGGGAUGGAAACCCUUUCGAAAAUCCUAAAAAACAUGCUCUCUUUUGGAGACAUUUCAAAGGUUGUAAAAUCAAGAAGGAUCGACAUGAUAGAAGGGUUGGAAACUGUGGCUAACCUCAAUAUACCUAAGGAUCUUUCAAGUCAAGAAGUAAAUGCGUAUCUGCAAGAUGCAUGCGCAAGAUUUGAUGUCAAACAUGCAUAAAUCCUACUUUUAUCAUAAAUCAUCUAGAGAUAAUGAGCCCAUUGGCUAAGUGGCACAGAUCGAAACCCUGCUUAACAGAGCGUUUUGAACUCUUCGUAAACAAGCACAAGGGCUCAAAAGAAGGUUAAACAAGAGCAGAUACUAACUAGCCAAUUUAAGGCAAGGCAUAGCCAACAGUUGGAAGUUUCAGGUAAUUUCUUUUGUAUGAGUCCUAGUUUAGGAGGGGGAAGUGUUUAGUUAGGAGGGCUAAAGUCAA